GGCAUGCUGGGCGAGCAGCGGGUUCCGCGCGGACGGUUUGAAAUUGGGCUCCAACGGUAGCGGCGCGAAGCCCGGCUGGCCGGCGGCCCGCGGUGACCGAGCCCAGCCAUCCGCCGCUCCCUCAGAAGCUCUCCCGGUUUGCUUCGACAGUACCACCCGGACGCUGGGGGCUCACAAUUUCGCGUACCCGACCCACUAUUUUACAGGAGAAACUAUACACAACCUAUGAAAGCAGAAGCAAGCUGUCAGGGGCUGUACUGUGGAGCACUGUGUUUGGAUAAGAACCUUUGGGGUUCCAUGGAAUUGACUGCUGCAGUUGCAAAUGGAGAUACUCAAGAGCUCCCACCUGUACAGAUCCCAAUAGCUGAGGAAAAAUCAUUGGAAGAAUAAAAUCUCUGUCAGUUCAUUUGACACUUAGUCUCCAGUUGAGAUACUGGCACCUCAUGAUCUAAAGGAUAGUUUUUGAGCCAACACUUGUAUAUUAGAUGGCAUUACUGCCCUGCUGAUGUUCCAGACAGUUGUGUCCCAGCCCAUAUGGAGGGUUUGAUGACGUGAAUUCCCCAGAGGAUUUGGGUGAGGACUUUCAUGGGACUGCCUGUAAAUAAAACCAUGUUCGCAUUGAAAUGCACAGACCAUUGGUAAGCCUACAAAGAAAUUGGCUGAAAUUUAAGAAUUUGGAACACCAUUUUCUACUUUAGGAGUUAGUUCCUAUGAGGAUUUUGAAACCAUUUUUCUGUGUGGUAGUAGUGGCCAGAUCCAUGUAAAUGCUAAAGAACCCAACUAUGCUGUUUAUAGCUUCCAGGCAGAAUCCAUCCAUCUUAUGAACUCCGUAGUGAAGGUUCAAACUUCAUGGCAUGGAAGCUCAGGCUAUUAAAUUUGCCCUGAAUUUAAGUGAUGCCACAAUACUCCAGAAUUGUUUUUCAGCUUAAUAGCAUGUUGACAUCCUUCUCUGAGGAAGUUGUUGUGGUUCAGUAUAUUGUGACUUUGCUGUCUUAAUUCAGGAAUAUAACAUUUAUGCCUUCAUGACUGUUACUUCAAGAUUGCCCUCUCUACUGCCCAUCAACUAGUUAGCCCAAAUUGCUGUAAUUCAUAAAGACAUGGGAUGAUCUGAAGCAAGCCAAACUGAGCUAGGUUUGUUGAAGAUCUUCAUAGCAUCUCUGCUGUAAAGGAGCAGCCAUUUGUUAACAUGACAGAAGCCAUUAAGAGAUUGGGCAGGUAUAGGCAUACUGAAAGCAGGCAGUAAGGAUAUCUGAACAGUAGGCAAGGUUUCUAUUACUAAUUGGAGGUAUACUUUUUUGGGCUAUAGAAUUACUUCAGUUGUUUCUGGUGUUUAUGGUUUGUAUUUAAAUCAACGCUCAGUUGAUAAACAAUAGAUAGGGUGUUAACCUGGGAACUGUGCCAAUGGAAGAAUCAUAAAAUGAGAUCUGUGAAAGCAUUGCCUUUCAAUUUCCUGACCUAUUACUGACUAUGCCUUGGUACUGUUUGGUGGGCAGCUACAACAUUGUGAACAAGCAUAUAAGAAUAAUCAAAAAUAAUAACUAAUUAGGAUGGGUUGUGAAGUUGUGGUUCACUCGUAGAUUGUAGAGUGCUGCCAUUGAAGUCUUGAGCUUUCAUACAUUCAUUUUGCAGACAACUUGUGUGCUACCUAAAUAUUGUCAACAAUGUGGAUGCGUGCAGCAAUCAAUGGAGUUGUUUUGCCAUUAAUUAAUUAAACCUUCUCAGUCUUUCAGGAUAAUAGACAAUAGAUGCAGAAGUAGACCAUUCGGCCCUUCGAGCCUGCACCGCCAUUUUGAGAUCAUGGCUGAUCAAAUACUAUCAAUACCCGGUUCCUGCCUUGUCCACAUAUCCCUUGAUUCCCCUAUCCAUAAGAUACCUAUCUAGCUCCUUGGAAGCAUCCAGAGAAUUGGCCUCCACUACCUUCCGAGGCAGUGCAUUCUGGGAGAAGAAGUUUUUCCUUAACUCUGUCCUAAAUGACCUACCCCUUAUUCUCAAACCAUGCCCUCUGGUACUGGAUUCUCCCAGCAUCUGGAACAUAUUUCCUGCCUCUAUCUUGUCCAAUCCCUUAAUAAUCUUAUAUGUUUCAAUCAGAUCCCCUCUCAAUCUCCUUAAUUCCAGUGUGUACAAGCCCAGUCUCUCUAACCUCUCUGCGUAAGACAGUCCAGACAUCCCAGGAAUUAACCUCAUGAAUCUACGCUGCAUUUCCUCUACAGCCAGGAUGUCCUUCCUUAACCCUGGACACAAUUCUCCAGGUGUGGUCUCACCAGGGCUCUGUACAAAUGCAAGAGGAUUUCCUUGCUCUUGUACUCAAUUCCCUUUGUAAUAAAGGCCAACAUUCCAUUAGCCUUCUUCACUGCCUGCUGCACUUGCUCAUUCACCUUCAGUGACUGAUGAACAAGGACUCCUAGAUCUCUUUGUAUUUCUCCCUUACCUAACUCUACACCGUUCAGAUAAUCUGCCUUCCUGCCUCCCAAAGUGGAUAACCUCACACUUAUUCACAUUAACUGCCAUCUGCCAAGUAUCUGCCCACUCACCCAGCCUAUCCAAGUCGCCCUGAAUUCUCCUAACAUCCUCAUCACAAGUCACACUGCCACCCAGCGUAGUAUCAUCAGCAAAUUUGCUGAUGUUAUUUUUUAUGCCUUCAUCCAAAUCAUUAACGUAAAUGGUAAACAGCUGUGGUCCCAAUACCGAGCCCUGUGGCACCCCACUAGUCACCACCUGUCAUUCCGAGAAACACCCAUUCACCGCUACCCUUUGCUUUUUAUCUGCCAACCAGUUUUCUAUCCAUGUCAAUGCCUUCCCCCCGAUGCCCUGAGCUUUGAUUUUACCCACCAAUCUUCUAUGUGGGACCUUAUCAAAUGCCUUCUGAAAAUCGAGGUACACUACAUCCGCUGGAUCUCCCCCGUCUAACUUCCUGGUGACAUCCUCGAAAAACUCCAACAGAUUAGUCAAGCAUGAUUUACCCUUGGUAAAUCCAUGCUUGCUCAGCCCAAUCCUAUCACUGCUAUCUAAAUAUGCCACUAUUUCGUCCUUAAUAAUGGACUCUAGCAUCUUUCCCACCACCGAUGUCAGACUGACGGGUCGAUAGUUCUCUGUUUUCUCCCUCCCUCCUUUUUUAAAAAGUGAGAUAUUAGCCAUUCUUCAAUCCUCAGGAACUGAUCCUGAAUCUAAGGAACAUUGGAAAAUGAUUACCAAUCCAUCUGCAAUUUCCAGGGCCACCUCCUUUAGUACCCUAGGGUGCAGACCGUCUGGACCUGGGGAUUUGUCAGCCUUCAGUCCCAUCAGUCUUCUCAUCACUGUUUCCUUCCGAAUGUCAAUCUGUUUCAUUUCCUCUGUUACCCUAUGUCCUUGGCCCAUCCAUACAUCUGGGAGAUUGCUUGUGUCUUCCUUAGUGAAAACAGAUCUAAAGUACUCAUUAAAUUCUUUUGCCAUUUCUCGGUUUCCCAUAAUAAUUUCACCCAAUUCAUUCUUCAAGGGCCCAACAUUGUUCUUAACUAUCUUCUUUCUCUUCACAUACCUAAAAAAGCUUUUGCUAUCUUCCUCUAUAUUCCUGGCUAGCUUGCGUUCAUACCUCAUUUUUUCUCGCCGUAUUGUCUUUUUAGUUAAGUUCUGUUGUUCCUUAAAAACUUCCCAAUCAUCUGUCCUCCCACUCACCUUAGCUCUAUCAUACUUUUUUUUUAAUGCUAUGCAAUCUGACUUCCUUUGUCAAAUACUGUGGCCCCUUCCCCCCUUUGAAUCCUUCCUUCUCUGGGGGAUGAACUGAUUUUGCACCUUGUGCAUUAUUCCCAAGAAUACCUGCCAUUGCUGUUCCACUGUCUUUUCUGCUAGGCUAUCUGUCCAGUCAACUUUGGCCAGCUCCUCCCUCAUGACUCCAUAGUUUCCGCUGUUCAUCUGCAACACUGACACCUCUGAGCUGCCCUUAUCCUUCUCAAAUUGCAGAUAAAAGCUUAUCAUAUUGUGAUCACUACCUCCUAAUGGCUCCUUUACUGCGAGAUCGCUUAUCAAAUCCUGUUCAUUACAUAACACUAAAUCCAGAAUAGUCUUGUCCCUGGUCGGCUCUCGUACAAGCUGUUCCAAGAAUGCAUCCCGUAGGCACUCUACAAACUCCCUAUCCUGUGGUCCAGCACCAACCUGAUUCUCCCAGUUCACCUGCAUGUUGAAAUCCCCCAUAACUACUGCGACAUUACCUUUGCCACAUGCCAGUGUUAACUCCCUAUUCAACUUGCACCCAAUAUUCAUGCUACUGUUUGGUGGCCUGUAGACAACACCCAUUUGGGUCCUUUUGCCCUUACUGUUCCUCAGUUCUAUCCACACAGACUCUACUUCUCCUGACCCUAUGUCCCCCCUUGCAAAGGACUGAAUCUCAUUCCUCACCAACAGGGCCACCCCACCCCCUCUGCCCACAUUUCUGUCCCUAUGAUAGCACGUAUACCCUUGUACAUUCAUUUCCCAGGUCUGAUCUCCCUGCAGCCAUGUCUCCGUUAUCCCAACAGCAUCAUAGUUACCCAUUCGCACCUGGGCUUCAAGCUCAUCCGCCUUAAUUCUGACACUUCGUGCAUUCAGAUAUAGAAUUUUUAACCCAUUUCUCCUCUCUCUGUUUGAAUCGCUGCCUGAACUCCCAUUGGGCUAUAUGCCCCUAGAAUUUUGUUGUCCUUCCUAAAUUUACUUAUUCUUUCAACACAUUUAACUCCAUGUUCCGUCAGACCAUCCCUCUGUACAAGAGUCCUCCUUAUCACGUGUUCUGCCCCACCUUCCUCUACUACACACUUAAUAUUCCGGAACCGUGUAGUCCCCACCUGCCCUUUAUUCUUCCUCUUGCUAUCCUCCCUCGCAUUCUGGAUCCCCGCCCCUUCAGAUUUAGUUUAAACCCCUCCCCAAGAAGCACUAGCAAACUUCCCUGCAAGAAUGUUAGUACCACUCCAGUUCAGGUGUAAACCGUCCCUUUGGAACAGAUCCCACCUUCCCUGGAACAAAGCUCAAUUAUCUACAAACCUGAAGCCCUCCCUCCUGCACCAUCCUCUCAGCCACAUAUUAAUCUUUAUAAUCCUUCUGUUCCUUGCCUCACUCACACGUGGCACUGGUAGCAAUCCUGAGAUUGUUACCCUGGAGGAUGCUCAAAGGAAAGCAAUAAUGGAAAUGCUUUGCAGCAGUGUUUCUAUAGAAUUGGAAACUUAAGUGCUUCUGAGGGCAUUUUGUUUGUUUUAGGUUAAUUUCUGUUCAGUGUUGGUUCCUAGAAUGUUUAAGAUGGAGAACUGGUCAAUAAUGACAUUGACGAAUGUUAAGGAGAAAUGACUGGAUGACUCUUGUUGGAAGUUGUCAGUACUAGGGACAUGAAGGCCGAUGAUAUUAAUCAAAAACACAAGAGAUUCUGCAGAUGCUGGAUAUGCAGAGCAUAAUGCACAAAAUGUUGGAGGAACUCGGGAAGUCAGACUGCAUCCGGAAAUCAAUAAACAGUUGAUGUUUCAGGCUGAGAUUCUUCAUCAGGACUGAUGAACUGUAUGGAAUAUACUGUAGCAUUCCAGCCCUCCCAUUCUAGAUAA